ACGGGAGGCAGCAGUGGGGAAUAUUGGGCAAUGGGCGCAAGCCUGACCCAGCAACGCCGCGUGAGGGAUGAAGGUUUUCGGAUUGUAAACCUCUGUCCUUGGUGACGAAUGAAAUGACGGUAGCCAAGGAGGAAGCCCCGGCUAACUACGUGCCAGCAGCCGCGGUAAUACGUAGGGGGCAAGCGUUGUCCGGAAUGACUGGGCGUAAAGGGCGUGUAGGCGGCAUUGUAAGUCCGGAGUGAAAGUCCUGGUUUAAAGGGGGGAAUUGCUUUGGAGACUGCAAAGCUUGAGUACAGAAGAGGGAAGCGGAAUUCCCGGUGUAGUGGUGAAAUGCGUAGAGAUCGGGAGGAACACCAGUGGAGAAGGCGGCUUACUGGGCUGUAACUGACGCUGAGGCGCGAAAGCGUGGGGAGCAAACAGGAUUAGAUACCCUGGUA
rnacentral:rRNA from 1 species